UUUUUUUGGGCUUACCUAAUGUGGGCCUAAUGAUUGGGCCCAAUGGGUGGGCAUGUAGGGUUGGAUAAUUGGGUUUUAAAUAAUUUAAUUUUGGACUUGUUUGGGCUUUGGCCCAUUGUUUUGUUUUGUUUUUUGUUUUGUAUGUUUUAAAAAUAUUAAUAAAACAAUAAUAAAUCAGAAAAAAAUAAAAAAAUAAAAAUUACAUUCGAACCCCUAAAAUUUCUAAAAAUUACAUUUUAGCCCCAUAUUUUUAUAAAAUUACAUUUUUACCCUGAAAACUUUACACCCUUUACAAUUUGGUCCUCUUGGACAUGUCAAAUCUGCCAGUCGGCAGCCAAGCGUGCUCCACCCACCUCCAGCUACUCCAGCAGCCUCCCUAGGCCAAUGAUGCUCCCCUACCGCCUGAAAACAAAGGAAAGAAGACAAAAUUGAAAGGAUUUAAAAGAGGGAGAUGAAAGGAAGAAGGGGGGAUUUUCGGCAGCCAAGGAAAGCAAAAAAAAAACAACAAAAUCAAGCAAAAAACAGCAGCAAAAAGCCCCACGCCUCCGCGUCCACCGCCGUCCCUCACCACCGGCCGUCGUUCCCCCAUCCACCAAAGACAAAGAAAGCCAAUAAAUAAAUAAAAAAGCAAAGUCAAAGAAAAAAACAGCAAGCAAAAAGCAAAAAAAACAAGCAAAGAAGAAAAAGAGAAGAGAAGAGGAGAGCUUCACCGUGCGCCACCGCUGAUCGCCGCGCCAGGCUGGGGGGUGCACCGUCGGGGCUGAACGGAGAAGAAAGAAAAAAGAAAAGAAGAAAGAAAGAAGAAACAGAGAAGAAAGAAGAAAAAAAAAGAAAGAAAAAAGGGGAAAGAAAAAAGGGGAAAGAAAAAUAAAAAAUAAUAUAUCGGGUCGACCCGAACCGGAUUCAACCCGCGACCCGACCCAACAGGACCAGCAGUAGUAGGUCAGCCCAAAAAAAAAACCAAAAUAGAAAAAGAAGCAGCAGAAAAAAAGAAAGAAAGAAGCAGAAAAAAGAAGAAGAAAGAAGCAGUCCAGCAGCAGGCCCAGUGCAGCAGUCCAGCAGCUUCAGCCCAAUAGCAGCAGACCAGUGCCCAGCAGCUCAUAAGUAGCGGCCCACUUCCUGGCAGCCCAUAAGUAGCGGCCCAACAGCAAAAAAGUAAAAAGAAAAGGCCCAUUCUUCAACUCCAUUAUUUUGGGCUUUUGGGUAAAUUUUUUAUCCAUUUAUUUUAGUCCAUUUAUUUAAAUAUUGUAUUAUUUCAAUUAAAUUAGCAUUUUUAAAAUAGUUUUUUUUAGAAAUAUUGUUACAUUUAUUUUACUCGUAUUUUAAAAAAAAAUAUAUUUAAUGCAUAAGUCAACGAACCGAUUUAAUUUUAAGUCAUCGAAUUCAUUGCUAUGUUGGGUGAAUAUCGAUUGCUCGUGUUAAAUACGGGACGCCCUUCUAAAAAUCGAAAAUAUUCAAAAUUCCUCGUAUUUUAAUAAAAAUUCUUGUGUUUUAUUAGAAUCCCGAUUAAAUAUUAAAUUGAAUUUAUUUAACACUAAUUCGAUGGUUUCAUCGCCAUGUUGGGGUGAAUACCAUCGAUUCAUGUUAAAUACGGUAUUUUUAAAAAAAAUCGUGUUUCAAAAAUUUUCAUGUCUUCAAAAUUUCUCGUGUUUCAAAAUAAU
rnacentral:lncRNA from 1 species